ensembl:snRNA U11 spliceosomal RNA
AAAAAGGGCUUCUAUCGUAAGUGGCACAUAUAGGGCAACUUGUUUGCUCUGCUUGUGCAAUCAACAUCAAGAGAUUUUGGAAGCAUUAUUUUUUGGUACUUGGGCAGCUAGUGAUCAUUGGUCCUGGAGCCCUU